GGAACAUAAGGGCUAGCUAAGGUAUAUUGAGCAGUGCUGGAGGCUCUACAGUGAAAUAAGGCAAGAAUUACUAACCAAAACAGCAAUAGAAAAGGCAUAUUGACAUUAGGGAGAGGAAUGUGUAGCUGAGUGAUCAUAGGGUCCAGUGAGUAGCUAUGUGAGCUGGAGGCACAGAGAUUCAGACAGCUAUUUAUUUAUUUUACCUUUAUUUAACUAGGCAAGUUAGUUAAGAACAAAUUCUUAUUUUCAAUGAUGGCCUAGGAACAAUGGGUUAACUGCCUUGUUCAGGGGGAGAACAACAGAUUUUUUACCUUGUCAGCUCAGGGAUUCGAUCUUGCAACCUUUCAUGUACAAGUCCAACGCUCUAACCACUAGGCUACCUGCCACCCCAGCUAGCAGGCCAGGUCUAGCAGCAGGCUAGCAGAUGGGCCUCAGGGGGACGUCGCAACAAGAGUCUGUUGAAACCCCCUCGGGCGGUUACAUCGGCAGACCAGUUGUGAUAAAUCGGCAGGGCUCCGUGUUGGCAGCAAAGUGUCCAGGCCAAUUGCAGAAGAGGUAUUGAAGCCCAGGAAUUAUCUGAUGGAAUUCUUUGGCUAGCCGGGAGAAGGGCCUAGCUCGAGGCUAGCUCCAGGCUAACUGGUGCUUGCUUCAGGACAGAAAACCCUUUUGGAUGGUCACGUCGGUAGACCAGUCGUGAUGGAUCGGUGAGGGUCCAGGCCAAUUGGCAAAAGAGGCACAGGAAUUAACCCCCACCCUGAAGGCACAGGAAUUAACACCCACCCUGGAAGCACAGGAAUUAACACCCACCCUGAAGGCACAGAAAUUAACACCCUCCCUGGAGGCACAGGAAUUAACACCCGCCCUGAAGGCACAGGAAUUAACACCCACCCUGGAGACACAGGAAUUAACACCCUCCCUGAAGGCACAGGAAUUAACACCCACCAUGAAGGCACAGGAAUUAACACCCACCCUGAAUGGUACAGGAAUUAACCCCCACCCUGAAGGCACAGGAAUUAACCCCCACCCUGAAGGCACAGGAAUUAACACCCACCCUGAAUGGUACAGUAAUGAACACCCACCCUGAAUGGUACAGGAAUUAACACCCACCCUGAUGGUACAGGAAUUAACACCAACGAAGGCACGGAAAUUUACACCCACCCUGAAGCACAGGAAUUAACACCCACCCUGAAGGCACUGGAAUUAACACCCACCCUGAAUGGUACAGGAAUUAACACCCACCCUGAAGGCACUGGAAUUAACACCCACCCUGAAUGGUACAGGAAUUAACACCCACCCUGAAUGGUACAGGAAUGAACACCAACGAAGGCACGGGAAUUAACACCUACCCUGAAAGCACAGGAAAUAACACCCACCCUGAAGCACAGGAAUUAACACCUUCCCUGACUCUUGUAACCCUGGGAGUUCAUAGUGUUAUAAUGGGUCCUUCAAUGGGUUAUGAGGCAUGGAGCUACAGUAUAUCUGUCUCUGCUAUGAGAAAUAUAUAGUUUUCCUCCUGUGUGUGGCUUAGUUGAUGCUUUAUCACUCUCUACUUAUUAAGGUACAAGGCGAGACCCAAAUGCGGACACAGGAGACAGAUGGUUGGAGUCUUACAAUGUUUGUUAAUCCAAAGGGGUAGGCAAGAGAAUGGUCAUGGACAGGCAAAAAGGUCAAAACCAGAUGAGAGUCUAGGAGGUACAGAGUGGCAGACAGGCUCGUGUUCAAGGCAGGCAGAAUGGUCAGGCCGGCGGGUACAAAGUCCAGAAACAGGCAAGGGUCAAAACAGGGAGGACUAGAAGAAAGAGAAUGCAAAAAGCUGGAGAACGGGAAAAAUGUUGGUUGACUUGGAAACGUACAAGACGAACUGGCACAGAGAGACAGGAAACACAGGGAUAAAUACACAGGGGAAAAUAAGCGACACCUGGAGGGGGUGGAGACAAUAACAGGAACAGGUGAAACAGAUCAGGGCGUGACACUACUUAGAUAAGACGGAGCUACUGAUGGGAACCUUCUAUGAUGUAAUGCUAUGAUGUAAUAGCCCAUACAAACGCAUUGAAUAACAGAUUCACUACAUGGAACAACAGAUAGUCCUUGAACAAAAAUCCGAAUGAAGAUUGUUCUGUGAGAUAUAAUAAAAGGAAACAGGAAACAUAAAUAUUUAUUUUUUACUUGUGUUCAACCUCUUAUUUUUGGCACUCAGUCUCCAUAUAUGCAGUGCAUGCUGUCACCCCCAUGCUUCCCCGUAGGGAUGGUCACUGGUUUUCUCCAGAUGUGACGCUUGGCAUUCAGGCCAAAGAGUUUAAUCUUGGUUUUAUCAGACCAGAGAAUCUUGUUUCUCAUGGUCUGAGAGUCCUUUAGAUGCCUUUUGGCAAACUGUCUGGCCACUCUCCCAUAAAAGCCUGAUUGGUGGAGUGCUGCAGAGAUGGUUGUCCUUCUGGAAGAUUCUCCCAUCUCCACAGAGGAACUCUGGAGCUCCCUGACCAAGGCCCUUCUCCCCCGAUUGCUCAGUUUGGCUGGGAGUCCAGCUCUAGGAAGAGUCUUGGUGGUUCCGAACUUCUUCCAUUUAAGAGUGAUGGAGGCCGCUCUGUUCUUGGGGACCUUCAAUGCUGCAGACAUUUUUUGGUACCCUUCCCCAGAUCUGUGCCUCGACACAAUCCUGUCUUGGAGAUUUUCGGACAAUUCCUUCGACCUCAUGGCUUGGUUUUUGCUCUGACAUGCAUUGUCAACUGUGGGACCUUAUAUAGACAGGUGUAGAAACAUCUCAAGGAUCAGUGGUAACAGGAUGCACCUGAACUCAUUUUCGAGUCACGUAGCAAAGGGUCUUAAUACUCAUGUAAAUAAAGUGUUUCUGUUUUUUUGUUUUAUAAAUUUGCAAAAAUGUCUACAAAACAGUUUUCGCUUUGCCAUUAUGGGGUACUAUGUGUAGAUUGAUGAUGGACAAAAAAAAAUGUCAUAAACUUUAGAAUGUGUAAUGUAACAAAAUGUGGAAAAAGCCAAGGGGUCUGAAUACUUUCCUAAUGCACUGUACUUUCAUGAAUUUUUUUAACUGGUACCGGGGACCUUCAGACGAGUCUUGUGAGGCCUGUGGGCGUCAUAUUAAAACAACCGACAUGUACGUGUUCGUGAGAGUCUCACCUUUCCACAGAGGGGACAUAUUAGUUUGUAGGCAAAACUGUUUGGAUGCUAGAGGCGAUUUUGUGAGAAGACCAAUUUUCGUGAUGUCUCAUGGUCUGACAAACACCGCUCAAACUCUGUCAUUUUACACCACAGAUGCGGAAGUACGACAUGCGGUGGAUUAAGACGCAUCCGAUGCAAAACAUAAUAUAUCUCUGUCUUAAACUGACAGAUUUUUAUGGUGAUUUUUUUAUUAUGCUAAUUAGAUUUCCAUGGUGGAGAAGAAAUUGACUAUAGGGCACCUAUAGUCACCUAUGAAUUACUGCAGUAACUGUAAGCUGUAAGCUGUUGAAGCACCCACAUGAUGACAGAUGAUUAAUAGCCACAAGGUCGAGGUUAAAGCAGAACCAUUUUAAUUAACCCAGGCCGGCCACCAACAACAUGGUGAAACAUGGAUGAAAUAAAUGCAGAACGAGGGAUGAAGUCAUAUUAUUGUACAAGCCAUCUAGGAAAUGUCCUAUAACAGAAAACAUCAAUCAACAUUCAGAUGGGGAGUGGAGAGGGGAGACCCAGGGAACAUGAGGAGUGGAGAGGAGACUUAGAGGGACAUGGGGAGACUUGGGGAGUGGAGAGAACCUGUCCAGACUGGUCCGGCUGGCUCCUGCCCUGAACCAGACUAAAAAGGAAGGUACUCCCGAGUGUAGGUUACCUCCCUCCUUUUGUUGGUGUUUUCUUCCCCUAAGGAGGAAUGGUACCAGGCUGGGUGUGGAGCUGAGAGGCUCUCAGGGUACUGCAGCUUGGAGGCUGCACGCCUCUUACCUGCGCCAAGCAACGUUUUGGGUUUCUGGUGUGGAGAAUCUGCAAUGGCAUCCUAUGUGACUUAGCAGUGACUUCCUAAUUUGUGAUAGGCUAGGUUUCAAUUGUGUGUUAAAAAUACACCAAUGCCACAUGCAUGUAAUCAUCAGGUUCUCAGAAUCUGAUGAAGACUUUGGCUAGAGGGAGGGGCUCCGAAAUUAUUGACCAGGAUAAUUAUAUAAUUUUAUAUCAAUAGAAAUGCUCA
rnacentral:lncRNA from 1 species